rnacentral:rRNA from 1 species
GAUGAACGCUGGCGGCGUGCCUAAUACAUGCAAGUCGAGCGAACAGACGAGGAGCUUGCUCCUCUGACGUUAGCGGCGGACGGGUGAGUAACACGUGGAUAACCUACCUAUAAGACUGGGAUAACUUCGGGAAACCGGAGCUAAUACCGGAUAAUAUAUUGAACCGCAUGGUUCAAUAGUGAAAGACGGUUUUGCUGUCACUUAUAGAUGGAUCCGCGCCGCAUUAGCUAGUUGGUAAGGUAACGGCUUACCAAGGCAACGAUGCGUAGCCGACCUGAGAGGGUGAUAGGCCACACUGGAACUGAGACACGGUCCAGACUCAUACGGGAGGCAGCAGUAGGGAAUCUUCCGCAAUGGGCGAAAGCCUGACGGAGAACAGCCGCGUGAGUGAUGAAGGUCUUCGGAUCGUAAAACUCUGUUAUUAGGGAAGAACAAAUGUGUAAGUAACUAUGCACGUCUUGACGGUACCUAACCAGAAAGCAACGGCUAACUACGUG